GCCCGCGGUAGCGGGAGUGCGGAGGAGAGGGGCGCUCUCCAUGCCCCCUUCGCCCCUCCCCCCGGCAGCAGGCGGCGCCCCACUGCCCCGGCGGCGAGGCGAGGCGAGGCGCAGCCCGGCUUGGCCCGGCUGCUGCGCGGACCCUGCGCUCUCGGAGCCGCUGCCCCUGGCUCGCGGCUCGCGGCGCCCGGCGGGGUGGGGGAGGAGGCGGAGAAGCCCGCCUGGGCGCGCCCCCCGCGCGGCUCUCCCGCCGCAGAGUGAGCGGGCUGUGCGCGGCUGCAGGCGGAGGGGCGCCCGCUGCUCUGUGUGUCCCGCGUGGGACGGGUCCGGCCGGCUGCAGGAGGGGGCGAGCUCGGCCAGUCCAGGAGCGAAUGCCAGCAUGAUUGAGAUCUGACCAACUGUGUCAAUACUUGACGUGUGGAGGAAGGGCCUAACAUAGUUAACAUCUGCUGAGCUACCAUGGCAGACCCGUCUGCUUUGGUGCCCUCCUCAAUGAUGUCGCUACCACAAGUAAUUGAGGUGCUUUUAUAAUCUGCUGGACCCCAGGAUUAGUCUUGUUGCUCCUUGAUGUUUGCUGUCCUCAGUGUAAUGUCCUGGCCUAUGAAAAAUUCUUCCUGCUACUUGCUGAAUUCAACUCUGCCAUGAACCCCAUCAUCUACUCCUACCGGGACAAAGAAAUGAGUGCUACCUUCAAACAGAUCCUCUGCUGUCAGCGCAGCGAGAAUGCCAACGGCCCCACCGAAGGCUCUGACCGCUCUGCUUCAUCGCUCAAUCACACCAUCUUGGCUGGAGUACACAGUAAUGAUCAUUCUGUGGUUUAAAAAGGAACUGAAAGAUCAAAAAGAACCACAGAGAAUUUUUAUUGAUGGAUGAACAAUAACAGGCUAGAAAACCACAUAGAGAGGGCUGGGCACAACGAAAGUAACAAACUCACAAGACAUUCUUAAAUACUAAUGGACUACAGUACUCUCUUUUUUCCAGAAAACCCACCCACGCACAACCCAAGCCAUGUAUGCAGAACGGGCUGUGCAAUAGCCCUCAUCCUUUCUUCUACUUUCUGAAACUAGAAAGCAGAUUCCUUGCAAUGGAAUUCAUAAGUAGCACUAGGAAAGUCUUAUUUAGACUACACUAACUAGACUCUGUCAGAAUAUGCUUUGUCUUGGUGCCAAUUGAAAUCAACUCUGAUUAAUUAAGCGUAUACCUGCUUCACUGCAUUUACAUGUAGACACUUAGUCUUGUUUUUAAAAAAAAGAAUGCAUUUCAUUUAAUAAAUACUUAAUAUUUAUCACCAUCUGCAUGCUUGUGAUGGACAUUAACUGUGCAGGGAGAAAAAAACAUGCUGUAGUCUUUGUAUUCUUAGCGACACUGCCAUAACUACAACAAAACAAAAAUAUUUUUCUAAUACAGGUCACAGGAAAAUGAUGGAAAUUCCGACUCUUCCUACCUUCUUUACUGGUGUUAGAGCACACUUGUUCUGUGUGAUGGCGGACUGUUUUAAUUCAGAAAAAGAUGCUCAUUGUAACGUCCGCAGGAAAGUAGAAAAGCAUAGACUGUAUUACAGUGUUUGUUUAGAUUAUGAAAUAAACAGUACUCUAGUCACAAGGUACAGUAGUUAACUUUCUUCUUUGAAGUGUGGUAUUGGAAUAUGUAACAUACACAAAGGGUCCCAAGUUUAUUCAUGGUCAGCUCCUUAGAGUAGGAUAUGUCUUUAAUGCUCUGAGAGCUACAGUCGUGGGGCUAAGAUGAAGCACAAGAGUGUUUUGUAAGAUGUAUUUAUGGUAUUGGAGUGUUUUUCUCAUUCAUUGUGGAAUGCAAAGGGAUUUUUUUAAUGCAUAAUAUAGUGUACUUUGUAAACGCUUUUUUAAAACAAGAAUUUUUUUUUUUUUGCACUGAGUGAGGGACAUUUUUGAGGGUAUCUAAAAAAUUAUUUACUCUUCAUCUCAUAAACAGUAGUUACUUGGAGCUACGGUACAAUUUUAUUUUUUAAUGAGACCAAAUAUAUAAUCUGUCAAACAAUUGAAACCUCCAUUAUGGUAAGCCAGCCAAAUAGCUGGACAUCUCAUACAUGGCUACUUUUAAGAAGAGAUACCACCUGUCCAAAUAUAAACUCCUAUGAAUUAUUAAAUGCUAAUGAAAAGCCAUAGUCUGCCAUCAAAUAAAUUUUAGUGAAGAAGAGAUCUUUGUAUUAAAGAACUUGGGACCUUUGUAUGCCAAAUUACUUGUUUGUGUGAGUGCGCCCAUGUGUGCAUAACAAUGUAAUGGACCAUAACUAAAGUUCACGACAGGCUGUUUUCCAUGUUGUUAGAUGCCUAAAUAAUAACUUGCUUGAGGUUUAUCAGUCAGUGUAAUGCUCUGGAAUGUUGCGUAACAGGUGUUGGGAUACUGUCAUGAGGCUAUUGUGCAGAGGUGGAUAGAGUAUUUAGAUUUAAGAAGGAUGCCUGAAAAAGGGAAGUCAGCACCAAGGAGGCAGAGAGAGUGUAAAGUUGCCAGUGUGUGUGUGUGUGUGUGUGUGUGUGUGUGUGUGUGUGUGUGAGAAAUCAAUGGGAGUUUUGCCAUUGACUUCAGUGGAGCCAGGAUUUUCACCUGUAAUGUUUAGCAGGUGUGCAGGGGCUGUGUGAAAGUGGGGGAGAUGAGAGCGGGCAGGCGGGCUUAGAGAAGGUGUCCAGGGAUCACGUGUCAGUUAAACAAGGGAUGGAUAUUUACGCUUACUUUGUACAAAACACAUAUCGCUAUAUUCUUUACUGAGGUUGAGAACAAAUGAACUCAUGAUUUUUCACGCAUGUAACUACAAUGAGAACUAGAAGAUGGGCUGUUUGAACUUAACGGGGGGAAAAAACCCUCCACGCUAAGCCACUAAUAAAGUUUUCUCAAUGAGUGUA